GGGUUGUGAGGUUAAGCGACUAAGCGUACACGGUGGAUGCCCUGGCAGUCAGAGGCGAUGAAGGACGUGCUAAUCUGCGAAAAGCGUCGGUAAGGUGAUAUGAACCGUUAUAGCCGGCGAUGUCCGAAUGGGGAAACCCAGUGCAAUUCGUUGCACUAUCGUUAACUGAAUACAUAGGUUAACGAGGCGAACCGGGGGAACUGAAACAUCUAAGUACCCCGAGGAAAAGAAAUCAACCGAGAUUCCCCCAGUAGCGGCGAGCGAACGGGGAGCAGCCCAGAGUCUGAAUCAGCUUGUGUGUUAGUGGAACGGUCUGGAAAGUCCGACGGUACAGGGUGAUAGUCCCGUACACCAAAAUGCACAGGUUGUGAACUCGAAGAGUAGGGCGGGACACGUGGUAUCCUGUCUGAAUAUGGGGGGACCAUCCUCCAAGGCUAAAUACUCCUGACUGACCGAUAGUGAACCAGUACCGUGAGGGAAAGGCGAAAAGAACCCCGGCGAGGGGAGUGAAAAAGAACCUGAAACCGUGUACGUACAAGCAGUGGGAGCACCUUCGGGUGUGACUGCGUACCUUUUGUAUAAUGGGUCAGCGACUUAUAUUCUGUAGCAAGGUUAACCGUAUAGGGGAGCCGCAGGGAAACCGAGUCUUAACUGGGCGUUAAGUUGCAGGGUAUAGACCCGAAACCCGGUGAUCUAGCCAUGGGCAGGUUGAAGGUUGGGUAACACUAACUGGAGGACCGAACCGACUAAUGUUGAAAAAUUAGCGGAUGACUUGUGGCUGGGGGUGAAAGGCCAAUCAAACCGGGAGAUAGCUGGUUCUCCCCGAAAGCUAUUUAGGUAGCGCCUCGUGAAUUCAUCUUCGGGGGUAGAGCACUGUUUCGGCUAGGGGGUCAUCCCGACUUACCAACCCGAUGCAAACUACGAAUACCGAAGAAUGUUAUCACGGGAGACACACGGCGGGUGCUAACGUCCGUCGUGAAGAGGGAAACAACCCAGACCGCCAGCUAAGGUCCCAAAGUCAUGGUUAAGUGGGAAACGAUGUGGGAAGGCACAGACAGCCAGGAUGUUGGCUUAGAAGCAGCCAUCAUUUAAAGAAAGCGUAAUAGCUCACUGGUCGAGUCGGCCUGCGCGGAAGAUGUAACGGGGCUAAACCAUGCACCGAAGCUGCGGCAGCGACACUAUGUGUUGUUGGGUAGGGGAGCGUUCUGUAAGCCUGCGAAGGUGGCCUGUGAGGGUUGCUGGAGGUAUCAGAAGUGCGAAUGCUGACAUAAGUAACGAUAAAGCGGGUGAAAAGCCCGCUCGCCGGAAGACCAAGGGUUCCUGUCCAACGUUAAUCGGGGCAGGGUGAGUCGACCCCUAAGGCGAGGCCGAAAGGCGUAGUCGAUGGGAAACAGGUUAAUAUUCCUGUACUUGGUGUUACUGCGAAGGGGGGACGGAGAAGGCUAUGUUAGCCGGGCGACGGUUGUCCCGGUUUAAGCAUGUAGGCUGAUUGUCCAGGCAAAUCCGGAUAAUCAAGGCUGAGGUGUGAUGACGAGGCACUACGGUGCUGAAGUAACAAAUGCCCUGCUUCCAGGAAAAGCCUCUAAGCAUCAGGUAACAUUAAAUCGUACCCCAAACCGACACAGGUGGUCAGGUAGAGAAUACCAAGGCGCUUGAGAGAACUCGGGUGAAGGAACUAGGCAAAAUGGUGCCGUAACUUCGGGAGAAGGCACGCUGGUGUGUAGGUGAAGUCCCUGCGGAUGGAGCUGAGACCAGUCGAAGAUACCAGCUGGCUGCAACUGUUUAUUAAAAACACAGCACUGUGCAAACACGAAAGUGGACGUAUACGGUGUGACGCCUGCCCGGUGCCGGAAGGUUAAUUGAUGGGGUUAUCCGUAAGGAGAAGCUCUUGAUCGAAGCCCCGGUAAACGGCGGCCGUAACUAUAACGGUCCUAAGGUAGCGAAAUUCCUUGUCGGGUAAGUUCCGACCUGCACGAAUGGCGUAAUGAUGGCCAGGCUGUCUCCACCCGAGACUCAGUGAAAUUGAACUCGCUGUGAAGAUGCAGUGUACCCGCGGCAAGACGGAAAGACCCCGUGAACCUUUACUAUAGCUUGACACUGAACAUUGAGCCUUGAUGUGUAGGAUAGGUGGGAGGCUUUGAAGCGUGGACGCCAGUCUGCGUGGAGCCAACCUUGAAAUACCACCCUUUAAUGUUUGAUGUUCUAACGUUGGCCCCUGACCGGGGUUGCGGACAGUGUCUGGUGGGUAGUUUGACUGGGGCGGUCUCCUCCCAAAGCGUAACGGAGGAGCACGAAGGUUAGCUAAUCCUGGUCGGACAUCAGGAGGUUAGUGCAAUGGCAUAAGCUAGCUUGACUGCGAGCGUGACGGCGCGAGCAGGUGCGAAAGCAGGUCAUAGUGAUCCGGUGGUUCUGAAUGGAAGGGCCAUCGCUCAACGGAUAAAAGGUACUCCGGGGAUAACAGGCUGAUACCGCCCAAGAGUUCAUAUCGACGGCGGUGUUUGGCACCUCGAUGUCGGCUCAUCACAUCCUGGGGCUGAAGUAGGUCCCAAGGGUAUGGCUGUUCGCCAUUUAAAGUGGUACGCGAGCUGGGUUUAGAACGUCGUGAGACAGUUCGGUCCCUAUCUGCCGUGGGCGCUGGAGAAUUGAGGGGGGCUGCUCCUAGUACGAGAGGACCGGAGUGGACGCAUCACUGGUGUUCGGGUUGUCAUGCCAAUGGCACUGCCCGGUAGCUAAAUGCGGAAGAGAUAAGUGCUGAAAGCAUCUAAGCACGAAACUUGCCCCGAGAUGAGUUCUCCCUGAGACUUUAAGUCUCCUGAAGGAACGUUGAAGACGACGACGUUGAUAGGCCGGGUGUGUAAGCGCAGCGAUGCGUUGAGCUAACCGGUACUAAUGAACCGUGAGGCUUAACCUUACAACGCCGAAG
rnacentral:rRNA from 1 species